rnacentral:rRNA from 1 species
UUGCCCUACGGGACGCAGCAGUGAGGAAUAUUGGUCAAUGGCCGAGAGGCUGAACCAGCCAAGUCGCGUGAGGGAAGACGGCCCUACGGGUUGUAAACCUCUUUUGUCGGGGAGCAAAAGACGCCACGCGUGGCGUUCCGAGAGUACCCGAAGAAAAAGCAUCGGCUAACUCCGUGCCAGCAGCCGCGGUAAUACGGAGGAUGCGAGCGUUAUCCGGAUUUAUUGGGUUUAAAGGGUGCGCAGGCGGAAGAUCAAGUCAGCGGUAAAAUUGAGAGGCUCAACCUCUUCGAGCCGUUGAAACUGGU